CUGGACUAGAAUGUGAGGGAAGUUCGUCUAAUAGCGAACGUCUGGGAAACCAGACCCGAAACAAGGUGCUUGCAUGGCUGUCGUCAGCUCGUGUCGUGAGAAUGUUGGGUUAAGUCCCGCAACGAGCGCAACCCUUAUCAACAGUUGCCAAUCAUUAAGUUGGGAACUCUGUUGAGACUGCCGUUGAAUAAAACGGAGGAAGGUGGGGAUGAUGUCAAGUCAUCAUGGCCUUUAUGUUCAGGGCUACACACGUGCUACAAUGGAUGGUACAAAACGGUCGCAAUCCCGUAAGGGGGAGCUUAAUCGCAAAAACUAUUCUCAGUUCGGAUUGAAGUCUGCAACUCGACUUCAUGAAGUUGGAAUCGCUAGUAAUCGCGGAUCAGAACGCCGCGGUGAAUACGUUCCC
rnacentral:rRNA from 1 species